rnacentral:rRNA from 1 species
GUAGGCUGCAACUCGCCUACAUGAAGCUGGAAUUGCUAGUAAUCAUAGGUCAGCAUACUAUGGUGAAUACGUUCCCGGGCCUUGUACACACCGCCCGUCACACCAUGAGAGUUGAGAAUACCCGAAGUCCAUGUCAAAGUGGCCGAAGGUAGGCUUGAUGAUUGGGGUGAAGUCGUAACAAGGUAGC